rnacentral:lncRNA from 1 species
CCUUCUUGGUGCCUGAUGUCACCGUGACCCGCACUCCCAGCCUCUCCGCCUCUUCCAGGACGCUCGGCAGCACUCGGCCCGGCCACGCGAGAACCCACUGCUGCUUUUCUCCACGCCUACCGCCAGCCUGCCGCUUCCUGCCGGGGGCUCCUGCUGGCGCUGACAAGCUGACUUGGUGCUGCCAUAACCAGGGCUCUGGGGCCCAGUGGACCAUUGACCAUGAGGUGCAGCGGUGCUCAGAGAUGUAUUCACCAAAUGCAAUGAAUGUCUCAUGAUGAUGGAGGAGAAUGUUGUUAUGGGGGAGGAGUGGGAUGAGGGGGGUGGGGGGUAUAUGAGGACCUCAU